rnacentral:lncRNA from 1 species
UCCCCCUCUCCUCUUCUUUCCAUGAUCUCUCUUGCUCUCCUUAAGCUCUCCUCUCUCCGUGCUCUCCCCUCCACCACCGUCGUCCGUCGUCCGACCGCAUCGCCCACCGUUUGUCGUUCGCUGAAGGUAAAGUUUUCAACUUUUUUUUUGUGUUGAUCGGGCCACCGGGGGGCAGAGCCAUCCGCCGGGGGGGAGGGGGUUCGUGGGCUGCCGACGGCGCCAUGGGAUCAGGGAGGGGUCGAUCGGC